ensembl:misc_RNA Metazoa_SRP Metazoan signal recognition particle RNA
GCCAGGGGUGGUGGCUCACUCCUGUAAUCCCAGCAUUUUGGGAGGCUGAGGUAGGAGGAUCACUUGAGCCCGGGAGGUUGAGGCUGCAGUGUGCCAAGAUCGUGCCACUGCACUCUAGUCUGGGCAACAGAGUAAGACCCUGUCUCAA